rnacentral:tRNA from 1 species
UAUGUUUUAGUGUAAGAAGCAUAUAAAUUUUUGAAGUUUAAUGAAAUAGUUUGAUUCUAUUAAGCAUAA